rnacentral:ncRNA from 1 species
UUGCUAACGACUAAAGAGAAGAGUAGCCGUCACAAUCUUUUACAGAAAGCCUGAUUGCUGAGAACAGGUAUUGAGACGCCGGUGAAGAUGAGCUCUUAAAGUAAUUAUCCUGUUCACGCAGAAUAAUCGGUAGGAACCGUUACUUUCCCGGGUAUCAACAGGUACCGAUGAGGCACCACUUGUGAAAGUGGUGUGAACUAGGGUGGUAACACGAAGCAUUCGUCCCUUAA